GAUGAACGCUGGCGGCGUGCCUAAUACAUGCAAGUCGAGCGAACAGACGAGGAGCUUGCUCCUCUGACGUUAGCGGCGGACGGGUGAGUAACACGUGGAUAACCUACCUAUAAGACUGGGAUAACUUCGGGAAACCGGAGCUAAUACCGGAUAAUAUAUUGAACCGCAUGGUUCAAUAGUGAAAGACGGUUUUGCUGUCACUUAUAGAUGGAUCCGCGCCGCAUUAGCUAGUUGGUAAGGUAACGGCUUACCAAGGCAACGAUGCGUAGCCGACCUGAGAGGGUGAUCGGCCACACUGGAACUGAGACACGGUCCAGACUCCUACGGGAGGCAGCAGUAGGGAAUCUUCCGCAAUGGGCGAAAGCUUGACGGAGCAACGCCGCGUGAGUGAUGAAGGUCUUCGGAUCGGAAAACUCUGUUAUUAGGGAAGAACAAAUGUGUAAGUAACUAUGCACGUCUUGACGGGACCUAAUCAGAAAGCCACGGCUAACUACG
rnacentral:rRNA from 1 species